GACGAACGCUGGCGGCGUGCCUAAUACAUGCAAGUUGAGCGCUGAAGGUUGGUACUUGUACCAACUGGAUGAGCAGCGAACGGGUGAGUAACGCGUGGGGAAUCUGCCUUUGAGCGGGGGACAACAUUUGGAAACGAAUGCUAAUACUGCAUAAAAACUUUAAACACAAGUUUUAAGUUUGAAAGAUGCAAUUGCAUCACUCAAAGAUGAUCCCGCGUUGUAUUAGCUAGUUGGUGAGGUAAAGGCUCACCAAGGCGAUGAUACAUAGCCGACCUGAGAGGGUGAUCGGCCACAUUGGGACUGGGACACGGCCCAAACUCCUACGGGAGGCAGCAGUAGGGAAUCUUCGGCAAUGGACGAAAGUCUGACCGAGCAACGCCGCGUGAGUGAAGAAGGUUUUCGGAUCGUAAAACUCUGUUGGUAGAGAAGAACGUUGGUGAGAGUGGAAAGCUCAUCAAGUGACGGUAACUACCCAGAAAGGGACGGCUAACUACGUG
rnacentral:rRNA from 1 species